GUGGGGAAUUUUGGACAAUGGGGGCAACCCUGAUCCAGCAAUGCCGCGUGCAGGAAGAAGGCCUUCGGGUUGUAAACUGCUUUUGUACGGAACGAAACGGUCUGGGUUAAUACCCUGGGCUAAUGACGGUACCGUAAGAAUAAGCACCGGCUAACUACGUGCCAGCAGCCGCGGUAAUACGUAGGGUGCGAGCGUUAAUCGGAAUUACUGGGCGUAAAGCGUGCGCAGGCGGUUUUGUAAGACAGGCGUGAAAUCCCCGGGCUCAACCUGGGAAUGGCGCUUGUGACUGCAGUGCUGGAGUGCGGCAGAGGGGGAUGGAAUUCCGCGUGUAGCAGUGAAAUGCGUAGAUAUGCGGAGGAACACCGAUGGCGAAGGCAAUCCCCUGGGCCUGCACUGACGCUCAUGCACGAAAGCGUGGGGAGCAAACAGGAUUAGAUACCCUUGUAGUCC
rnacentral:rRNA from 1 species